UAUUCUAUUGUACUAGGAAAAUGCGUUUCAACUUUUUUCUUUCUUUUCACAAAAAGAAACUUAUUUAUUUUCUGUAAAAGAAAAUCUGCUGAAAUUUACUAAAGACAGAGAGAAGAAGAGUUCAAAGCAAGUUUUGUGCCAGCACUUGCGGUCAUACAUUCUGAAUUGAAACGUAAUCAAUUCAAACUUAUUUACAAGUGUAUAUUUGGAUAUAAAUUGAUUUUUUGGUCUUAUAAUAUAAUUCUUCUUUUUAAGAAUUAAAUAAUAUGUAAAUAAGAUAAAAAACCUUUAAAAACCAGGAUUAGAUACCCUGUUAUUAGUUCUCACUAAUUUUUGAAUAGAUUAUAAAUAAAACAUUGUACAUGGCAGUUCCUUACCUGAUUAGAGAAGCAUGUUAAUUAAAAAUGAAACUGCGCACUUAAUAAAUCUUUUUCUAGAAUAAUCAUUCUGUACACCGCUAUCUGAAGGAAGUUUUUUAAAAACCAACCUAUCUCUUGGAAGAAAUAAGUUAAGUUAAGGUGCAGACAAUGAAGAUGUAUUAAUGUGCCUCAAUAUAAAAUCUAUGAAUAAUAUUUUAACAAAAUAUUUAAAAAAGAAUUUAAUAGUAAAUAAAUUUUAUAACACUUUAUUGAAUUAGCCAUAAGGGGGGUACAAAUUGCCCGUCACUCCAAAAGUGGAGAAGUCGUAACACAGUUGGCCUACCGGAAGGUGGGCCAAGAUAAGA
rnacentral:ncRNA from 1 species